GCGAAUCUCGAAAGCCUGUCUCAGUUCGGAUUGAGGCUGAAACCCGCCUCCAUGAAGUUGGAUUCGCUAGUAAUCGCGCAUCAGCCAUGGCGCGGUGAAUACGUUCCCGGGCCUUGUACACACCGCCCGUCAAGCCAUGGGAGCCGGGGGUGCCUGAAGUUCGUGACCGCAAGGAGCGACCUAGGGCAAAACUGGUGACUGGGGCUAAGUCGUAACAAGGUAGC
rnacentral:rRNA from 1 species